UUGCUUCAGCAAUAAAUAUACUAAAAUUAGAGCAAUACAGAGAUUAGCAUGACCCCUAUGCAUGGAUGACAUGCAUUCUAAUGAAAAAUGGACAAAAAAUUU
rnacentral:snRNA from 1 species